rnacentral:tRNA from 1 species
CACGCCGUUGCCGAAUGGUCAGGCGCGAGAUUGCAAAUCUCGAUAUCCCGGUUCGAAUCCGGGCGGCGUGUCCA